rnacentral:rRNA from 1 species
ACAUGCGACAAUUCCGGUAGUAAUAUCGGAAUGCUUUUAUUAGAUCAAAACCUUCUAGUUCUUUAAACGGAACUGUUUGUUGGUGACUCUAAAUAACUUUGUGUUGAUCGUAUGACCUUUGUGUCGACGACAUAUCUUUCAAGUGUCUGACUUAUCAACUUUAGACGGUACAUUAUAUGUCUACCGUGGUUGUAACGAGUACAGAGAAUCAGGGUUUGGUUCUGGAGAGGCCGCCUGAGAAACGGCGACCACUUCCAAGGAAGGCAGCAGGCGCGCAAAUUACCCACUCUCAAAAUGAGGAGGUAGUGAAGAGAAAUAACGAUGUUAGUCUAUUAUAGGCUGACAAUCGGAAUGGGAACACUGUAAACAGGUUAUCGAUUAACAAUUGGAGGGCAAGUCUGGUGCCAGCAGCCGCGGUAAUUCCAGCUCCAAUAAGGAAAACUAAAGUUGCUGUGUUUAAAAAGCUCGUAGUUGAAUUUCGGGUAUUUGUUGCUAGCUGGUCUAACUGGCCAUGUUGGUUAACAGAUCCUCAUUUGCUGGACGGCUGGCGAUGAUCUUUAUCGAUUGUCGUCAGUUGCCAGAACGUUUACUUUGAGAAAAUUAGAGUGCUAAAAGCAGGCUCACGCCUAUAUAUAUUGCAUGGAAUAAUGAAAUAAGAUCUCGAUUUUAUUUCGUUGGUUUUAGAAAUUGAGAUAAUGAUUAAUAGGAUCAGAGGGGGGCGUACGUACUGUGGUGUGAGAGGUGAAAUUCUUGGAUCGCCACAGGACGAACAGCAGCGAAGGCGUUCGCCAAGAAUGUUUUCAUUAAUCAAGAACGAAAGUUUGAGGUUCGAAGACGAUUAGAUACCGUCCUAGUUCAAACCAUAAACGUUGCCAACUGUCUUUUAGAUGCGGUUAUUUAUAUGACUCAUCUGGCGGAUCUCGAGAAAUCUAAGUUUUUAGGUUCCGGGGGAAGUAUGGUUGCAAAGCUGAAACUUAAAAGAAUUGACGGAAGGACACACAAGAAGUGGAGCCUGUGGCCUAAUUUGACUCAACACGGGAAACCUUACUCGGCCAGGACACUUUUAGGAUUGACAGAUUGAGAGCUCUUUCUUGAUUAGGUGGGUGGUGGUGCAUGGUCGUUCGUAGUUCGUGGAGCGAUUUGUCUGAUUAAUUUCGAUAACGAACGAGACUCCGGCUUACUAAAUAGUCUAAAGUUCGCAGGGACUUUUCAAGACUUCUUAGCAGGAUAAGUGGCACUUUUUAAGCCACACGAAAUGGAGCAAUAACAGGUCUGUGAUGCCCUUAGAUGUCCGAGGCUGCACGCGCGCUA